ACAUGAAAAGGUGAAGACGCAUUAAUCCAAAAGAAGAUGCAAAAUUUUAUGUGAGCAAUGGAAGGGACAAAGUGGGACUCGAUGUAAAAUACAUUAAUGCCUUCAAAGGUCAUGGCAUCUUCACUACCACUCCAUUUGCAAAAGGUGACUUCCUGUUGGAGUAUCAAAGUGAACUAAUAAGCAAGCAGACAAGCGAGAGGAGACGGAGAAUAUACCAUGACUGCCUUAAGGUGUUCAUGUUCGAGUUCCAAUUUAAUGGGACACUGUGGUGUGUUGAUGCAGCCAGUGAGGAUGGGUCUCUUGGAAGACUUGUUAAUGAUGACCAUAUAAACCCUAAUGCCAAGAUGAAGUACUUGAGCGUGGAAGGGAAGCCCCAUCUGUGUCUAUUUGCUAUAAGAGACAUAAGUCCAGGGGAGGAGAUCACCUAUAAUUACGGAGACUCAGACUGGCCAUGGAGA